UAGUUGCAUGUUGUCUUUUGAACUUUAUUAUUUUGGUUUUGAACUCCGUAUUAAGUAUUUUAUGUGUGUUUUAUAUAUCAUUAUAAACAUGUAUUUUUAAGAAAUAAAUUCUUGAAAUCAAAUUUCUGAACUUUUAAACUCAUCUAUAACUUCUUGUGUUAAACUUUUCUUUUUAUAGUUUUUGUUGCUUCCUAUGCAGUUUUAUACAACAUGUUAAAUAGCUUAAUAAUUCUCAUAGGUAUUAUGUAUAGUGUUUACACUUAUCAUCAUUACUGUACAUAAGUUUUCCAGUCAUGUUAGUAACUGUAUGUAAGGUGUAUGUUUGUCUUGGUAACUGUAAGGUGUGUGGUUGUCUUAGUAACUGUGUGUAAGGUGUGUGGUUGUCUUAGUAACUGUGUGUAAGGUGUGUGGUUGUCUUAGUAACUGUAUGUAAGAUGUGUGGUUAUCUUGAUUACUGUAUGUAAGGUGUGUGGUUGUCUUAGUAACUGUAUGUAAGGUGUGUGGUUGUCUUGGUUACUGUAUGUAAGGCAUAUCUUUGUCUUGGUAACUGUAUGUAAGGUGUGUGGUUGUUUUAUUAACUGUAACUAUAACUUGGUAAGUAAGAGUCUUAGAUAGUUAAUGUUUUAUAAAUAUUCAGGGGUAUAAAAAGUUUUUUACAUACUAGCUCUGCACUUGUAGUCAUGAGAAAUGUACUAGUCUAAAUUGAAAUUCAUCUAAUCCAACUGUUUAUGUUUUAUCACACUACAGUAGAUAAAUUAUUACACAUUGCAAAUAUAUACAUAUUUGUAUUCAUGGCAGUGACUUCUUCCACAAUAUUACAAGGAUAAAAAUAACAGGACUUACUAUAGCAAAUGUGAUGGAGAUGGAAAAUUUCUGUGCAGGUUAUUCAGUCUACAUAUGUUAUAAACUGGUAUUCCUGACAUGUGGAAAAUAAUAUGAUUUAAUUCAUAAUAUAUAAAAACAUCACAUGUCUGUGCAGGUUAUUCAGUCUACAUAUAUAAUGAAAUCAAAACAACCAAUGGGCAAUCUGACAUAUGAAACAACUCACCCUUUUCCUUCAGACUUAGUAAAAAAAGCUGCUGUUUUAUCUGGUAUCAUUUAAACUUUGCAUUGAAAAAAAUAAAUUCUAAUCUCAUGGGAAAAUAAUAAUGCUGAUUAGAAAGUGUUUUAAAUACAAAACUAAAUAAUUGAUCAUAUUAAUUUACAAGUUGGUAACUUAGUCAUGAAUAUACAUCAGGCUUACGAUGGAUUAGCCUAUUCUUGAUAAAAGGAUACCAUUCUUCAUUGGUAGUUGAUAGUUAGCAAGUGGAAAAAAAUU